rnacentral:rRNA from 1 species
UGGGGAAUAUUGCACAAUGGGCGCAAGCCUGAUGCAGCCAUGCCGCGUGUAUGAAGAAGGCCUUCGGGUUGUAAAGUACUUUCAGCGGGGAGGAAGGGAGUAAAGUUAAUACCUUUGCUCAUUUACGUUACCCGCAGAAGAAGCACCGGCUAACUCCGUGCCAGCAGCCGCGGUAAUACGGAGGGUGCAAGCGUUAAUCGGAAUUACUGGGCGUAAAGCGCACGCAGGCGGUUUGUUAAGUCAGAUGUGAAAUCCUCGGGCUCAACCUGGGAACUGCAUCUGAUACUGGCAAGCUUGGGUCUCGUAGAGGGGGGUAGAAUUCCAGGUGUAGCGGUGAAAUGCGUAGAGAUCUGGAGGAAUACCGGUGGCGAAGGCGGCCCCCUGGACGAAGACUGACGCUCAGGUGCGAAAGCGUGGGGAGCAAACAGG